rnacentral:rRNA from 1 species
AGAGGUCCUACCUGCCCAGUGACUAUAAGUUAAACGGCCGCGGUAUUUUGACCGUGCUAAGGUAGCGCAAUCACUUGUCUUUUAAAUGAAGACCUGUAUGAAUGGUGUAACGAGGGCUUAACUGUCUCCCUUCUCUGGUCAAUGAAAUUGAUCUACCCGUGCAGAAGCGGGUAUAAAAAUACAAGACGAGAAGACCCUUUGGAGCUUAAGACAAAAAGCCAACCAUGUUAAAGACCCCCAAUAAAAACAAGUCAAACAAAAUGGCAACUGGCCAACGUCUUCGGUUGGGGCGACCGCGGGGGAAAAUAAAGCCCCCAUGUGGACUGGGAAAAAUCCUAAAACCAAGAGAUACAUCUCUAAGUCACAGAAUAUCUGACCUAAAGAUCCGGCCCAAAAGCCGAUCAACGAACCAAGUUACCCUAGGGAUAACAGCGCAAUCCUCUUCAAGAGUUCAUAUCGACAAGGGGGUUUACGACCUCGAUGUUGGAUCAGGACAUCCUAAUGGUGCAGCCGCUAUUAAGGG